GAUGAACGCUGGCGGCGUGCCUAAUACAUGCAAGUCGAGCGAACAGACGAGGAGCUUGCUCCUCUGACGUUAGCGGCGGACGGGUGAGUAACACGUGGAUAACCUCCCUAUAAGACUGGGAUAACUUCGGGAAACCGGAGCUAAUACCGGAUAAUAUAUUGAACCGCAUGGUUCAAUAGUGAAAGACGGUUUUGCUGUCACUUAUAGAUGGAUCCGCGCCGCAUUAGCUAGUUGGUAAGGUAACGGCUUACCAAGGCAACGAUGCGUAGCCGACCUGUGAGGGUGAUCGGCCACACUGGAACUGAGACACGGUCCAGACUCCUACGGGAGGCAGCAGUAGGGAAUCUUCCGCAAUGGGCGAAAGCCUGACGGAGCAACGCCGCGUGAGUGAUGAAGGUCUUCGGAUCGUAAAACUCUGUUAUUAGGGAAGAACAAAUGUGUAAGUAACUAUGCACGUCUUGACGGUACCUAAUCAGAAAGCCACGGCUAACUACGUG
rnacentral:rRNA from 1 species